rnacentral:rRNA from 1 species
CCUACGGGAGGCUGCAGUGGGGAAUAUUGGACAAUGGGCGAAAGCCUGAUCCAGCCAUGCCGCGUGUGUGAAGAAGGCCUUCGGGUUGUAAAGCACUUUCAGUGGGGAAGAAAGCCUUGGGGCUAAUACCCUCGAGGAAGGACAUCACCCACAGAAGAAGCACCGGCUAACUCCGUGCCAGCAGCCGCGGUAAUACGGAGGGUGCGAGCGUUAAUCGGAAUUACUGGGCGUAAAGCGCGCGUAGGCGGUCUGAUAAGCCGGUUGUGAAAGCCCCGGGCUCAACCUGGGAACGGCAUCCGGAACUGUCAGGCUAGAGUGCAGGAGAGGAAGGUAGAAUUCCCGGUGUAGCGGUGAAAUGCGUAGAGAUCGGGAGGAAUACCAGUGGCGAAGGCGGCCUUCUGGACUGACACUGACGCUGAGGUGCGAAAGCGUGAGUAGCAAACAGGAUUAGAUACCCCGGUAGUC